rnacentral:rRNA from 1 species
AUGAGGGAGCAGUGUCCUACCGAGCUUGAGGCCGUGGCAGAGGAGGGGAGGCUGCAGGGGCGCCGGGCGUGCGGCUCCACGGACUUGGUGCGGCGGCCUUGCUGGAGGAACACACAGCCAUGGCAGGGCGACGCACGGGAGAACUACAACGAGGAGAAGGGAGCAGAGGAAGAUCGAGCAGGAGGUGGCUGCGCUGCGGGAGGGAAAGGGGAGAUGGCAUCGAGCGUAGGGCUCCUGGCGGCGCUGGGACGAUGCGAGGGAGAUGGGGGUCGGGCCAGGGAGAGGUUUAGGGUUAGGUAG